AAAACACUUCUCUCUCUCCCACACAUCAGUCACCUCCACACCUCACCUUACCGCCAGCGCUCACCAUCGGGAAGCAUUCGACAUCGCACAUCGCCACCGCCACCGCCACCGCCGCAAUACCAGGAUAUCUCUCGCUCUCCCACUUGUUGUAUGCCCAAAUCGACGCUUGUUGUAUCCCCAAAUCGACAAACAACGACGCGAUGACGAACAAUUCAUCGCUAAUCUGCUCUGGUGGGUAUGACAAAGAAUAGAAAGCAGCUAGGGCUUAUGAUAUGGUUGCACUGAAGUACUGGGGAACAUCUACCACUACAAACUUCCCUAUCAGUAAUUACGAAAAGGAACUUGAGGAGAUGAAACACAUGACCAGGCAAGAAUUUGUAGCCUCAAUUAGAAGAUGACUUUGUUGCGUGGACUUGCAGAGAUAUUUUGGUGUAUGGAAAAGAAAUUGUAUUUUUGUAUAGAAGUAAUAUAAUACUUUUGUCGUCCCCAGCUUUUGUGCAGUUAACUAUUACUCAUAUAGAAAACUUUUGGCAGCGAACAGCUAAUUCCUGGCAUGGUAGAUAGAUCACCUUUUGACGCCACACAAGUAUAUGAUUUUUUUGUCGUGGUACAUAGAUGUAUUUUUGGCUUGGUACAUACAUCACAUUUUGUCGUGGUACAGAUUACGGUGGUAAUUUGUACCAUGC